GCCGGGCAUGGUGGCGCGUGCCUGUAGUCCCAGCUACUCGGGAGGCUGAGGUGGGAGGAUCACUUGAGCCCAGGAGUUCUGGGCUGCAGUGCGCUAUGCCUAUCAGGUAUCUGCACUAAGUUUGGCAUCAAUAUGGUGAUCUUCCAGGAGCAGAGGACCACCAGGUUGCCUAAGGAGGGGUGAACCAGCCCAGGUCAAAAACGGAGCAGGUCAAAACUCCCGUGCUGAUCAGUAGUGGGAUCGCGCUUGUGAAUAGCCACUGCACUCCAGCCUGGGCAACAUAGCAAUACCCCGUUUCU
rnacentral:SRP_RNA from 1 species